UAAAUACAUGCUCGUGAGGCAGUCGACAGUGGCGAACAACUCAACAACUGGCGAAUGGCGAAUGCCUUUCGAGUCUCGUGUUUGCACCAAGACACUAGCUAAGUGGACGACAGGUAUACCUACAAACGGCACUAUGAAUUUGUUCCAAUUUGUAAGUCAGUAAGUUAACUAGUUACUAUGCCACAAAUCAAGAACGCAAAUUAUAGUCUCAAGUAAGGUGUAACGUCUUACGUGAUGGCCGUGAUACGUGUUGUGUUAAGUGUGUUCUUGACUAUUCCUGCAGCUAUGAAACAUAAAAUCUCUUUAAUAAAGUAUUAUUCGGGGAUAACCUACAAAUUAAAAACUAACAAGCGUUCAC